AUUGAACGCUGGCGGCAGGCCUAACACAUGCAAGUCGAACGGUAACAGUAAGAAGCUUGCUUCUUUGCUGACGAGUGGCGGACGGGUGAGUAAUGUCUGGGAAACUGCCUGAUGGAGGGGGAUAACUACUGGAAACGGUAGCUAAUACCGCAUAACGUCUCAAGCCCAAAGAGGGGGACCUUCGGGCCUCUUGCCAUCGGUUGUGCCCAGUUGGGAUUAGCUAGUAGGUGGGGUAACGGCUCACCUAGGCGACGAUCCCUAUCUGGUCUGAGAGGAUGACCAGCCACACUGGAACUGAGAAACGGUCAAGACUCCUACGGGAGGCAGAAGAGGGGAAUAUUGGACAAGGGGCGAAAGCCGGAUGAAGACAGGCCGCGUGUAUGAAGAAGGCCUUCGGGUUGUAAAGUACGUUCAGAGGGGAGGAAGGGAGUAAAGUUAAUACCUUUGCUAAUUGACGUUACCCGCAGAAGAAGCACCGGCUAACUACGUG
rnacentral:rRNA from 1 species